CGCAUUAAGCACUCCGCCUGGGGAGUACGGUCGCAAGACUGAAACUCAAAGGAAUUGACGGGGGCCCGCACAAGCGGUGGAGCAUGUGGUUUAAUUCGAAGCAACGCGAAGAACCUUACCAGGUCUUGACAUCCCGCUGACCGCCAUGGAGACAUGGCUUUCCCUUCGGGGACAGCGGUGACAGGUGGUGCAUGGUNGUCGUCAGCUCGUGUCGUGAGAUGUUGGGUUAAGUCCCGCAACGAGCGCAACCCUUGUCNUUAGUUGCCAUCAUUCAGUUGGGCACUCUAAGGAGACUGCCGUACAAAUACGGAGGAAGGUGGGGAUGACGUCAAAUCAUCAUGCCCCUUAUGACCUGGGCUACACACGUGCUACAAUGGGUGGUACAAAGGGCAGCAAACCCGCGAGGGGGAGCGAAUCCCAAAAAGCCACU
rnacentral:rRNA from 1 species